rnacentral:rRNA from 1 species
AUUGAACGCUGGCGGCAGGCUUAACACAUGCAAGUCGAGCGGGGUGAUGGUGCUUGCACUAUCACUUAGCGGCGGACGGGUGAGUAAUGCUUAGGAAUCUGCCGAUUAGUGGGGGACAACAUCCCGAAAGGGAUGCUAAUACCGCAUACGUCCUACGGGAGAAAGCAGGGGAUCACUGGUGACCUUGCGCUAAUAGAUGAGCCUAAGUCGGAUUAGCUAGUUGGUGGGGUAAAGGCCUACCAAGGCGACGAUCUGGAGCGGGUCUGAGAGGAGGAUCCGCCACACUGGGGCUGAGACACGGCCCAGAUUCCUACGGGAGGCAGCAGUGGGGAAUAUUGGACAAUGGGGGGAACCCUGAUCCAGCCAUGCCGCGUGUGUGAAGAAGGCCUUAUGGUUGUAAAGCACUUUAAGCGAGGAGGAGGCUCUUUUGGUUAAUACCCAAGAUGAGUGGACGUUACUCGCAGAAUAAGCACCGGCUAACUCUGUGCCAGCCGCCGCAGUAA